rnacentral:lncRNA from 1 species
CGAUAACAAUAUAAAGGUAUCAAAAGAAUGAAUUUCCUACUUCAUUAGUGAAUGAAAUAUUUAUGAAAAAAAUGGAUUUUGUCUUAAUAUUAUUUAUAUUCAGGAAUAUACUUUGAUUUUUUUUUUUAAAUUCAUGCUCGUCUCUAGAUCUGCAAGUGUUGAUCGGGAUUAAACACGUGUUACCAUAUGAUCCAAUCGCAGCUUACCGCCCAAAAUUGAUGACAAGUUGAAUGAUUUUCUUCUAGAUUUGCUGCUUAUUUGGACGUGUAUUACAUGAACACUUUUUGUUUAUAGGAUCAAUCGUGCAUUGGUGAGUUGAUAGGUAUUUUAUCUUUUGAUAUUAGAUUUGAUUUUUAUUUAUUUAUUUCCUGUCUUAUUUUUUAUUGAAAUGUUCACGUCAGUAUCAUCCUUUCUUUACUUUCAGCAUUGUCCAAAAUACUAUUCAUGUCCAUAUAUUUAAGAAAACAUUUAUUGACCGAAUAUUUUGCUUCAUAAAGGGGGCGGUAUGUUCUUUUUUGAGUAUAUUAACUAUUUACUUUUCAACGCCAUCACCCAAAUGUUUUUGUUUAAAUUAGCACCAGGGGCGGAUCCAGUCAUUUUAAAAAGGGGGGUUCCAACUAUAUGUCCCCAUUCAAAUGCAUUGAUCGGCCAACAAAAAAGGGGGGUUGCAACCCCCGGAUCCGCCAAUGAGCACUAUUAACGGUAUUUGGAAAAUCAGGAAUCAUUCAAAACAUUAAUUUGUCAUCUGCUUGACCAUAAUAAU